rnacentral:rRNA from 1 species
UACGUAGGGUGCGAGCGUUUGUCCGGAAUUACUGGGCGUAAAGAGCUUGUAGGUGGUUUGUCGCGUUGUUCGUGAAAUCCUCACGGCUUAACUGUGAGCGUGCGGGCGAUACGGGCAGACUAGAGUGCGGUAGGGGAGACUGGAAUUCCUGGUGUAGCGGUGAAUGCGCAGAUAUCAGGAGGAACACCGGUGGCGAAGGCGGGUCUCUGGGCCGAUAACUGACGCUGAGGAGCGAAAGCGUGGGGAGCGAACAGGAUUAGAACGUAC